CCUACGGGCGGCAGCAGUGGGGAAUAUUGGGCAAUGGGCGCAAGCCUGACCCAGCAACGCCGCGUGAAGGAAGAAGGCUCUCGGGUUGUAAACUUCUUUUAUCAGGGACGAAGCAAGUGACGGUACCUGAUGAAUAAGCCACGGCUAACUACGUGCCAGCAGCCGCGGUAAUACGUAGGUGGCAAGCGUUAUCCGGAUUUACUGGGGGUAAAGGGCGUGUAGGCGGGAAAGCAAGUCAGAUGUGAAAACCAUGGGCUCAACCUGUGGCCUGCAUUUGAAACUGUUUUUCUUGAGUAAUGGGGAGGCAGACGGAAUUCCUAGUGUAGCGGUGAAAUGCGUAGAUAUUAGGAGGAACACCAGUGGCGAAGGCGGUCUGCUGGACAGCAACUGACGCUGAGGCGCGAAAGCGUGGGGAGCAAACAGGAUUAGAUACCCGAGUAGUC
rnacentral:rRNA from 1 species